AGAGUUUGAUCCUGGCUCAGGAUGAACGCUAGCGGCAGGCUUAACACAUGCAAGUCGAGGGGCAGCGCGGGGUAGCAAUACUCUGGCGGCGACCGGCGGAAGGGUGCGUAACGCGUGAGCAACAUGCCCGUGGCAGGGGGAUAAGCGAUGGAAACGUCGUCUAAGACCCCGUAACAACAGAGUUCGCAUGGACUUUGUUUGAAAGCUUCGGCGGCCACGGAUUGGCUCGCGUCCCAUUAGGCAGUUGGCGGGGUAACGGCCCACCAAACCGACGAUGGGUAGGGGUUCUGAGAGGAAGGUCCCCCACAAUGGAACUGAGACACGGUCCAUACUCCUACGGGAGGCAGCAGUGAGGAAUAUUGGUCAAUGGGCGGAAGCCUGAACCAGCCAUGCCGCGUGCAGGAAUAAGGCCCUACGGGUCGUAAACUGCUUUUGUACGGGAGCAAUAAGGGCCACGUGUGGUCCGAUGAGAGUACCGUACGAAUAAGCAUCGGCUAACUCCGUGCCAGCAGCCGCGGUAAUACGGAGGAUGCGAGCGUUAUCCGGAUUCAUUGGGUUUAAAGGGUGCGUAGGCGGCGUGCCAAGUCAGGGGUGAAAGGUUCCGGCUCAACUGGGACAGUGCCUUUGAUACUGGUGUGCUGGAGUGCGCUUGCCGUGGGAGGAAUGAGUGGUGUAGCGGUGAAAUGCUUAGAUAUCACUCAGAACACCGAUUGCGAAGGCAUCUCACGAAGGCGUAACUGACGCUGAGGCACGAAAGCGUGGGGAUCAAACAGGAUUAGAUACCCUGGUAGUCCACGCCGUAAACGAUGAUGACUAACCGCCGGUCCGCUAGGGUCGGUGGCCAAGCGAAAGCGAUAAGUCAUCCACCUGGGGAGUACGACCGCAAGGUUGAAACUCAAAGGAAUUGACGGGGGCCCGCACAAGCGGAGGAACAUGUGGUUUAAUUCGAUGAUACGCGAGGAACCUUACCCGGGCUCGAACGGCAAGUGAAGAGAGACAGAGAUGUUGACGUCCUUCGGGACACUUGUCGAGGUGCUGCAUGGUUGUCGUCGGCUCGUGCCGUGAGGUGUCGGCUCAAGUGCCAUAACGAGCGCAACCCCUGCUUCCAGUUACCAGCACGUAAAGGUGGGGACUCUGGAGGGACUGCCACCGCAAGGUGAGAGGAAGGGGAGGAUGACGUCAGAUCAGCACGGCCCUUACGUCCGGGGCGACACACGUGUUACAAUGGCGGCCACAGAGGGAAGCUACCCUGCGAGGGGAUGCGGAUCUCGAAAAGCCGUCUCAGUUCGGAUCGGAGUCUGCAACUCGACUCCGUGAAGCUGGAUUCGCUAGUAAUCGCGCAUCAGCCAUGGCGCGGUGAAUACGUUCCCGGGCCUUGUACACACCGCCCGUCAAGCCAUGGAAGCCGGGGGCGCCUGAAGUUCGUGACCGCGAGGAGCGACCUAGGGCGAACCUGGUAACUGGGGCUAAGUCGUAACAAGGUAGCCGUACCGGAAGGUGUGGCUGGAACACCUCCUU
rnacentral:rRNA from 1 species